rnacentral:rRNA from 1 species
UACGAAGGUCCCAAGCGUUAUCCGGAUUUAUUGGGCUUAAAGGGUGCGUAGGCGGACUAUUAAGUCAGUGGUGAAAGCCCCAAGCUUAACUUGGGAACUGCCAUUGAUACUGAUGGUCUUGAGUACAUUUGAGGUGGGCGGAAUGUGUCAUGUAGCGGUGAAAUGCUUAGAUAUGACACAGAACACCGAUUGCGAAGGCAGCUCACUAAACUGUAACUGACGCUGAGGCACGAAAGCGUGGGGAGCAAACAGG